rnacentral:rRNA from 1 species
GGGAGAGCAGCAGCGGACGGGUGAGUAAAGCACAAGGACCUUGUCCCGGAAGAGGGGGACAACUGUGGGAAACCACAGCUAAUACCCCAUAAGCCGAGAGGUGAAAGCAGUAAUGCGCUUUAGGAGAGACUUGUGUCCUAUCAGGUAGUUGGUGAGGUAACGGCUCACCAAGCCGAAGACGGGUAGCCGGACUGAGAGGUUGUACGGCCACAUUGGAACUGAGAGACGGUCCAGACUCCUACGGGAGGCAGCAGUGGGGAAUAUUGGGCAAUGGGGGCAAACCCCCUGACCCAGCGACGCCGCGUGAGGGAAGACAGCCUUCGGGUUGUAAACCUCUGUUGCAGGGGAAGAAGAAAGUGACGGUACCCUGCGAGGAAGCUCCGGCAAACUACGUGCCAGCCGCGGC